CAGCCGCCGCGGUAAUACAGAGGGUGCGAGCGUUAAUCGGAUUUACUGGGCGUAAAGCGUGCGUAGGCGGCUUCUUAAGUCGGAUGUGAAAUCCCUGAGCUUAACUUAGGAAUUGCAUUCGAUACUGGGAAGCUAGAGUAUGGGAGAGGAUGGUAGAAUUCCAGGUGUAGCGGUGAAAUGCGUAGAGAUCUGGAGGAAUACCGAUGGCGAAGGCAGCCAUCUGGCCUAAUACUGACGCUGAGGUACGAAAGCAUAGGGAGCAAACAGGAUUAGAUACCCCCGUAGUCCCUGUCUCUUAUAC
rnacentral:rRNA from 1 species